CAUUGGAACAUAAACAGUCUUUGUGCACAUAAUACGGCAUUCUUUUGAGAAUAGAUGUUUGACGGGAAUAACCACCGUUUAGAUAGUCUCAGAAAUCAUUGUUGUCUAUUCUAUUCCCACAGCAGCUGGGAAUUCUGAAUUUUAUCAUAACCCGAGGAAUUGAAUCGAUAUUCCAAUUAUCUUUUCUGCUGCGACAAAUAUUGUUUGCCUAUGGUGGGGAAAUUGUAUAGAGUCAUAAUUUUGUAUGUGAAGUCUUUAACUUAAAUUAGCUUGAAUGAGAAGUAGCUUCAUCGGCAUUGCACAUCAUUGAGAAUGUGUUUUCCAAAAUUGACUUUGUUCCA